rnacentral:rRNA from 1 species
GUGUACACAAGAUAGAGCUCACAUCAAGUUUUUUUAAACUUUACACUUAAAUCCACCUUCAAAAGCAUUUUUCAAAAAAUCUUUAUCCGUUUUUAUCUCUAUAAUGUAACCCACCUCUACCUUUUACAUAAGCUGCACCUUUACUUGAAGUACUUGAUUUUAUCAUAAUAGAAAGAUUUCUAAAAAAACUGACUGACAACAGCGGUAUACAAACUGAUAACAAGUAAAAGUAAAGUAUUUCGUGGUUCAUCGUUUAUAGGGCAGGUUCCUCUAAAUGGCUAUCUUGCCGCCAAAUCCGUUAAAUUUCGUUAUUAUUAUUAUUCCAAAAUUUUUUAAUUAUGAGUA